rnacentral:misc_RNA from 1 species
GUGUGUUUGUAUCUAUAAAAAUACAAUGUUAUGUUACUUUGAAAGAUUAAGAUCUCUAUGAUAUAUAUGAAAGAUUAAAAUCUCUAUGAGAUCAAGCAAUCUUCAUUCUGUGAAACAGAUUAGAUAUUGUAACAGAAAUGGGCAACUUUUUAUGCUGCGUACAAGUUGACCAAUCUACAGUUGCCAUCAAGGAGAGAUUUGGCAAGUUUGAU